AUUACCUCAGUAACGGCGAGUGAAGCGGUAACAGCUCAAAUUUGAAAUCUGGCUCUUUCAGGGUCCGAGUUGUAAUUUGUAGAAGAUGCUUCGGGUGUGGCUCCGGUCUAAGUUCCUUGGAACAGGACGUCAUAGAGGGUGAGAAUCCCGUAUGUGACUGGUUGCCUUCGCCCAUGUGAAGCUCUUUCGACGAGUCGAGUUGUUUGGGAAUGCAGCUCUAAAUGGGAGGUAUAUUUCUUCUAAAGCUAAAUAUUGGCCAGAGACCGAUAGCGCACAAGUAGAGUGAUCGAAAGAUGAAAAGCACUUUGGAAAGAGAGUUAAACAGUACGUGAAAUUGUUGAAAGGGAAGCGCUUGCAACCAGACUUGCAUGCCGUCGAUCAUCCUGGGUUUUCCCUGGUGCACUCGGCGGCGUUCAGGCCAGCAUCAGUUUCGGUGGUUGGAUAAAGGCCUUGGGAAUGUGGCUCCUCUCGGGGAGUGUUAUAGCCCUCGGUGCAAUGCAGCCUACCGGGACUGAGGACCGCGCUUCGGCUAGGAUGCUGGCGUAAUGGUUGUAAGCGACCCGUCUUGAAACACGGACCAAGGAGUCUAACAUCUAUGCGAGUGUUUGGGUGUUAAACCCAUACGCGUAAUUAACGUGAACGGAGGUGAGAACCCUUUAGGGUGCAUCAUCGACCGAUCCUGAUGUCUUCGGAUGGAUUUGAGUAAGAGCAUAGCUGUUGGGACCCGAAAGAUGGUGAACUAUGCCUAAAUAGGGUGAAGCCAGAGGAAACUCUGGUGGAGGCUCGCAGCGGUUCUGACGUGCAAAUCGAUCGUCAAAUUUGGGUAUAGGGGCGAAAGACUAAUCGAACCAUUAACUACUAGGUGGUUAAUAGCGGGCUCCGGCCUGCUAGUGGCGCUAUGGCGUCGCGACACUAUCAAAUUGCGGGGACAUCCCAUGAAGAGACAGCUACCGCAGCUCAGGCGAAAGCCUGGGUGCGCACCGGGUUAGUGACCCCGGGGAUGGUAAUAACGCUGGACUCGCGGGACGACCUGCAGCCAAGCCCGUUCCAGGGUGCAGCUCACAGACUAAAUGGUAGUGGGAAGCUGGGCUUCUUAAGUUAUAGUCGAUCCGCCCUCGCGAGA
rnacentral:rRNA from 1 species